GGGUUGAUGAUUAUAACUUUAUUGUCUUGAAAAGAGAUGAAGACAUAAAAAUCAUGCUCAAUAGGAUUAUGAUGAAGCCC
ensembl:snoRNA SNORD115 Small nucleolar RNA SNORD115